rnacentral:rRNA from 1 species
UACGUAGGGGGCAAGCGUUGUCCGGAUUUAUUGGGCGUAAAGAGCGUGUAGGCGGCCAGGUAGGUCAGCUGUGAAAACUCGAGGCUCAACCUCGAGACGUCGGUUGAAACCAUCUGGCUAGAGUCCGGAAGAGGAGAGUGGAAUUCCUGGUGUAGCGGUGAAAUGCGCAGAUAUCAGGAAGAACACCCGUGGCGAAGGCGGCUCUCUAGGACGGUACUGACGCUGAGACGCGAAAGCGUGGGGAGCGAACAGG